AACGUAGGUGGCGAGCGUUAUCCGGAAUUACUGGGCGUAAAGCGUGUGCAGGCGGGCUAGCAAGUGGUGUAUGAAAGCUCCCGGCUCAACCGGGAAGGGUUAUGCCAGACUGCUAGUCUUGAGUGCGAGAGAGGAGCGUGGAAUUCCGGGUAUAGUGGUGAAAUGCGUAGAGAUCCGGAGGAACCCCAGAGGCGAAGGCGGCGCUCUGGCUCGCAACUGACGCUCAGACACGACAGCAUGGGGAGCGAACGGG
rnacentral:rRNA from 1 species